AUUGAACGCUGGCGGCAGGCCUAACACAUGCAAGUCGAGCGGAUGAAGGGAGCUUGCUCCUGGAUUCAGCGGCGGACGGGCGAGUAAUGCCUACGAAUCUGCCUGGUAGUGGGGGAUAACGUCCGGAAACGGGCGCUAAUACCGCAUACGUCCUGAGGGAGAAAGUGGGGGAUCUUCGGACCUCACGCUAUCAGAUGAGCCUAGGUCGGAUUAGCUAGUUGGUGGGGUAAAGGCCUACCAAGGCGACGAUCCGUAACUGGUCUGAGAGGAUGAUCAGUCACACUGGAACUGAGACACGGUCCAGACUCCUACGGGAGGCAGCAGUGGGGAAUAUUGGACAAUGGGCGAAAGCCUGAUCCAGCCAUGCCGCGUGUGUGAAGAAGGUCUUCGGAUUGUAAAGCACUUUAAGUUGGGAGGAAGGGCAGUAAGUUAAUACCUUGCUGUUUUGACGUUACCAACAGAAUAAGCACCGGCUAACUUCGUG
rnacentral:rRNA from 1 species